GAGUAAUUGUAAACAUCUGCUAAAGAAAAACCGAAAACAUGACUAAGAGAGAAAUGAACUUCAACAUAAAGCAUUGUGUGAACAGAUCCACCGCAAAAAAAACACCAUUUCCGUGGGUCAGUUCUAUUCUGAAUGUGAAAAAAGUUGUUGAUAAAAAUAAAUGUUUGAUUCCAGCUAAAAACAUUUUGCUUAAAGUCAGGCUGUCCGUCUGCUCAAAUAUCAAGGAAUGUGGCUACUCUUACAUUUCUGCAGCAGCUUUGGCCCCUGCUGCUCCUCUUGCCUUGUUCCAACAGAAGCAUUUGCACAAGCACAGAGAACUGGACUCAAACUAAUCUGACAGAAAGAUGUUUUUUUUCCUUGUUCUUCUGGGUUAUUUUUUAACGGGAUCGCUGAGGCGAUCAGAUUGUGAUGAUAGCUCAUGCAGAAAAGCUGCUAAAUUUCUAACCGUUGCCUCAAAAUGCUGACAAACUUCAGUGUCGUAAUGAUAAUAUAAAUGAAGGUUGAAGAACCCAAAAUGAAACCUGUUUCCCAGCUCUGACAAUGUCAUUAUUGGUGGUAGAUAAUUGUGCAUAAAGAACAAAGGAAUCUUGCAAGUACAGUAACCUACAGAUGACAGUCAGCAAGGAUUUGCAGAAAAUGCAAUAUAUGAACAAAUCUCCGAACUCCACUUGGGGAAUUCUCAAGUAACUCUCAUUUUACUAUCUAGUUGUCAUCCCUAACCAUGUAAACUUCUGUGUGUGUGUGUGUGUGUGUGUGUGGUAUAGCAAAAUAGCAACACCAUUUGGCAAGAGAUUUAUAUUUAGGAAGUGAAUGGAGGCUUUGAGAAACCCUGUAGUAGUUUUCAAACAUGUUUAGAAAACUGAUUAGAAAACUCUUUAGAAACUACCAUUCAGUUGAAGAAUAUUAUGUAUCUUUUAGAAACGCUGUUGGCUUUCAUAGACUGCUUGGAAUAUCUUAGUGUCAGUAUUGGGAAAAUAUAUUCCUUCGUGCACUGUGAUAUAUUUCUGCAAAGCAAACUUACUACCAACUAGAACAGGUUUUCUUUCCUGUGGUUUCUCAUCUGUUUCUGCUCAGUCAAGGUGCAUCUGGGAAUACAUUUCCCCUUGCAGCAGCAGGUGGCGUUGAAUAGCACACGUUAUUCUCACACUUACAAUUAUUUUGUCUCAUAUGUAGUAAAACCUCCUCUCCCAAAAGAGAUAACCCACAAGAGAAAUUCAACAAGUUUUUAUAGAUGUAGCAGAUGCUCUACAUGACAGGGGGUAGGGGUCAAAUUCUUCCAGCUUUAAUUACACUGAGAAAUAAGACCAUAAAUAAUGUAUUUAAGGAGCAGCAAAAGUAAAUGCAUUACAUUAUUUUUUUAAUUAAUUUUUCUUUACAUUUUUUUACCCACAAAAAUCUCUUGGCUUGCUCUUGCAGCACCACAGAGUUCAUGUUGUGGUACGGUGAUGUUUAUCAUGUACCAGUACUCAUUCACCCUGCAGAAAUUUGCAAACCUGAGUUUGUUUUGUGGCUUUCUUCAUCCACAUUACCUCCAUGGAACAAAGGAAUUGAUUCUUCUCCCAAAAACAUUAUCAUUGCAUCUUCAUGCAGUACAGUGCAGUGUUUCAGAUUUACACUGUGGUGAGAACAGAAUGAGAAUUAGUAUUUUCCAAACUUUUCGCUGAAGCUUUUUCUAAAAACUACGGAAUAUUGCAGAAUCAGUUCAAAACAGACCUUCACAUGACUUCCUAAGCUUAUUUUUUAAAUAUCAUACAAAUAAAAUAAAAUGAUAUCUUUAUGUGCACACAAGUAAAACCUAAGAAUGAAAUAGAAACCUUUUACAAGCAAGUGACUGUACCUCGGUCUGUAGUCAGUCUUAGCAGUGAUUAUGAGUAUUUAAGAAAUCCAUCCAUCUUCCUUUCAUCAACAGUCACUUUUGCAUUUGCAUAUCUAAUAAUUUAUGGCAUGUCCUGACCCCAAGCAGUAAUUGAACCAAUAGAUCUUCAGACCAGAUUUACACUGGUCUGGCUGCCACAGUAAUGUAACUCUGCAGGAGUUUUGGAUUAUUCCAAAUGCCAUCUCCUCUUCUGAGAGACUCACAGUCACGGGCUAAAUUUUACCUCCAAAUGUCAAGGCAGAAACUCUAUAGCUUAGUUUAAACUAUCUAGCUCUCCUUUUGGAAUACUUUAGAUAAAAACAGGAGGCACAGUGAUCACUCUCAACAUUGCCCUUGGUAGACUGAUUUUAAUGUAAGAUUCUGUAACAAUAAAUUAAUUCUCCUAAGAGUAUAAAACCAUGGAAGAGCCUGAAGUGUAGAAAUGAAAGGAGGAAAUCUAUAGCAGAGUUUGUAAAUGGUAAUGUAAAAAAAAAAUAGAAAUAAAAGGGGAGAGACACUGUUAUGUUGGUGAGGGCUCUGAUGAUCACAAACAGGCUGAUGAGAAUCGAGCUUCAAGUAGGAGAUAGGGUGCUCUUCUGACUUGAGCAAGCCAUGGCACAGCACAAAACCCAGCCAACUGCCUGUGUUUCUUCUUCUCAAAAUGUGAUUUAGAGACCAAUUUCAAGGCAGCAUUAUAUGCUUCAGUAAAGGGUUCUCAAAAGCUUUGAAUAAGAAAAAUACCAGCAAACACACAGCUCUGCACUGUUGCAGGCACUUUGCUGAAUACUAAGUAUUGAGAAAAUACAGCAAUAGAAGUUGUGUCUUUUCCAGCAGGUAUUCCUUGGGGAAAAUCUCUCACUGCUCUUCACCUGUUUCUGACUGUAACAGAAGAGUCAGGUGCACAGACCGGUCACACUGCUGCUGCUUCCAAACAGUAUUCCAGACAUUAUAAAAAGAUGCUGGGUCUGAAAUUUUAUAACAAGUCUCAUCAGUUGGCUGUUUUAUUUUCCUGGAAAGGAGCUCAACUGAACAAGCUCUGGCAGACACACAGAGCUAUGCUGUUGCCACUGACAGGAGUCCCAGAACAACACAUACAGUCUGUGAGAAAAUGCUACUGUCUCACAACUGUGGAAAAAAAAGAAAAGAGCAGCAAAGGUACGAACGAGGGAUGCAGUAUUAAUCUAUUGAUGAUUAAGUGCUGCCAUUGUUCCUUAAUAGCUAAGUUCAAUGAUGAUAGACAUCCUGAAAAAUAGAUAGAUAGACAGAAAGAUAGAUAUCCUCAGCUACAUCAACCAUCCAUAAUAUCCCAUGUGCUGCCAUCACUGCUUUGCCUGACCAAUUGCCUGUGUAACCUGUUCCAUCUUGUAUGAUCAAUAUUAGCACUUCACUAAGCAUGCAGUUACAGCUAUCUGCUAGCAAAGGAAGAACCUCAUCUUGCCUCUUUGUAAUGAAAGAUGAUCAUCUUGAAGAAGAAAUGCAAUUUCCUAUACCGAUACUUUCAUUUAAUUGUUUUCAGUGACUUGUUUGAUGCCUGUGUUCUACUUAUUAUGUAAAUAUAGCAAAAAGCAAAGUAUCAGAAAAUGAAUUAACAUUGAAAAGUUGAACAGGAAAACAGGGUUUGAUGUCCAAGCAAUGUCUCUGUGCCUCAGUUUUCCAUAAUUAAAGUGAGAUUAACAAUACCAUAACCACCUUUUGUGAGAUUCUUGUGGAUCAUUGAUUAGCAGACGUAAAAAGUUUCAGGGGCAGAAAUUCCCCUGGUGCCUCCAAAUAGUAAGUGGGCUGUGAUUCUCUUAGGAACUGACUGAGAUACCAAAGAAUGAUAAGAUACAGUAGCGCAGGAUCAAAAGGAGAGGAAGACAGGUCUCUGUGCAGUAUGGGAAUGACAGCACAGGAAGAAAAAUAUUGCUGGCCCUACCACCCUAAUCCUCUCAUUAACUGCCUAAGGGAGGACAGCACAGAAGAGGAAGUUCUUUAUCCCACCCAGCCACUGCUGAAAGAGUGGGUGUUCCUGGUGAGCAUCAGGAUAAAAACAGCAAAUACCAGCGAGAGACAGACAUUGUGACAUCUCCCUUGGCAUGGAAAUACAAAACGGUGGGAAGCUCCCUGUGCAGUGUGUGUGGUUGCAGUAAGAUCUCCUUGCCAUUACGCAGGAGGGGAUAAAUCUUGUUUCAAUGAAGCUGAAAGCAGUGCAGCUCAGCUGAAAUUAUCUGCAAAAAACAUAAGAAUGAAAAGGCCCCUGCCCUGUAAGUUGAUGUCUCCUGUGUUUCUGGCUCCCCUAUCAAUACUGUCUUUUUCGCUCUCUUUUUUUUUUUUUCUCAUGUCAG
rnacentral:lncRNA from 1 species